UGAACGCUGGCGGCGUGCUUAACACAUGCAAGUCGAACGAUGAAGCCCAGCUUGCUGGGUGGAUUAGUGGCGAACGGGUGAGUAACACGUGAGUAACCUGCCCUUGACUCUGGGAUAAGCCUGGGAAACUGGGUCUAAUACUGGAUAUGACUUCUCAUCGCAUGGUGGGGGGUGGAAAGAUUUAUUGGUCUUGGAUGGACUCGCGGCCUAUCAGCUUGUUGGUGAGGUAAUGGCUCACCAAGGCGACGACGGGUAGCCGGCCUGAGAGGGUGACCGGCCACACUGGGACUGAGACACGGCCCAGACUCCUACGGGAGGCAGCAGUGGGGAAUAUUGCACAAUGGGCGCAAGCCUGAUGCAGCGACGCCGCGUGAGGGAUGACGGCCUUCGGGUUGUAAACCUCUUUCAGUAGGGAAGAAGCGAGAGUGACGGUACCUACAGAAGAAGCGCCGGCUAACUACGUG
rnacentral:rRNA from 1 species